CCCUUAGAUGUUCUGGGCCGCACGCGUGCUACACUGAGUGGAUCAGCGGGUCAGGUUACGCGAGAGCGUUUCCUAAUCUUCAAAUCCGCUCGUGAUGGGGAUUGACGGUUGCAAUUUUCCGUCAUGAACGAGGAAUACCUUGUAAGCGCGGGUCAUCAUCCCGCGCUGAAUACGUCCCUGCCCUUUGUACACACCGCCCGUCGCUCCUACCGAUUGAGUGGUCCGAUGAGGCUUUGGGAUCUAAGCGAAAAGAGCGUUUCGCUCCUUUUGCUGGGAGAACUCAGUCGAACCUUAUCAUUUAGAGGAAGGAGAAGUCGUAACA
rnacentral:rRNA from 1 species